CUGUUCCCAAGGGGUAGGAUUGCCUGGUUCCUUGUCCGGCUUCUGUUGGAUGCUUUGUCCGAAGAACUACGUUCAUCUAAUUCAAUGUCAUCUCCUCUGCAUGGAGCCUGACUCACUGAACACUGGCAGAGUGACUAUGCCAUGUGACUAGCUGCCUCAUACACCUGCCUCCAGGCCUUCCCGCCAUGAUAGACUGCACCCUCAAGCCAUAUAGACCCUUCUCGUGACCAGCCAGCUUCCUGCCCCCACCACCAUGUGAAAGCCUGGAAACCCUGCUCUUGUUACCAUGAUGGACCCCAUUCCUCUAAAACCACCUACCACAAUGGACUCUUUCCUCCCUAAGUUGCUAUCUUCAGGCUAUUUUAUCACAGGAACAAAAACACCACCAAAGCAACGCUGCAUCAAGCUGACAAUCACUGGGAUCGUCAGUCUGGUAGGACUGUCUGGCGGGACGGUGUGACAUAAAGGAGGGUCUAGAUUAUAGAAAAGAGGCUCAGGUACUAACAUCUCAGCAAAGCCUUUCUCUUCCCAAAUGGGGGCGGCUGGGGGGAGCUCGUAGCCAUGAAACUCAGCAUGAGGACGAACUAGAGACAGAGAGAUUGAAUGACUGAGGUAACCGGGAGGUAAACACAGAGCCAGUUAAGCUCACAGUUCACAGCUAAACACUGAGUCCAAGCCCUGAUUUCAUCACAUGCUGGCUGCAUGAACCUGGGUGAGUCACUUGACUUCUCUGGGCCCCGUUC